GACGGCGUGGAUUAGGCAUGCAAGUCGAACGAUCCUCUUUUAGAGGAUAGUGGCGAAAGGGUGAGUAAUGCAUGGAUAACUUGCCUCUUAGACUGGAAUAACUUGGAGAAAUCUGAGCUAAUACCGGAUAUAGUGUUAGUAAUGCUGUUAUUAACAUUAAAGGUGGCCUCUAUUUAUAAGCUGCCGCUAGGAGAUAGGUCCAUGUCCUAUUAGCUUGUUGGUGGAGUAAAAGCCUACCAAGGCGAUGAUGGGUAGCCGGCCUGAGAGGGUGACCGGCCACAUUGGGACUGAGACACUGCCCAAACUCCUACGGGAGGCUGCAGUCGAGAAUCUUUCGCAAUGGGCGAAAGCCUGACGAAGCGACGCCGUGUGAACGAUGAAGGCCUUCGGGUUGUAAAGUUCUGUCACUUGGGAGUAAUAGCCAUUGUACUAAUAAUACUUUGGUCUGAACGUACCUUGAGAGGAAGCCCCGGCUAACUCCGUGCCAGCAGCCGCGGUAAUACGGAGGGGGCGAGCGUUGUUCGGAUUUACUGGGUGUAAAGGGAGUGUAGGUGGUUUUUUAAGUCAGAUGUGAAAUCUCAUAGCUCAACUAUGAACGUGCAUUUGAAACUGGAAAACUUGAGUUUGGAAGAAGAGAGUGGAAUUCUCAGUGUAGCGGUGAAAUGCGUAGAUAUUGAGAAGAACACCGGUGGCGAAAGCGGCUCUCUAUUCUAAAACUGACACUAAGGCUCGAAAGCUAGGGGAGCGAACGGGAUUAGAUACCCCGGUAGUCCUAGCCGUAAACGAUGGGUACUUGGUGUAGAAGGUAUUGACCCCUUCUGUGCCGUAGUUAACGCGUUAAGUACCCCACCUGGGGAGUACGGUCGCAAGACUAAAACUCAAAGGAAUUGACGGGGACCCGCACAAGCGGUGGAGCAUGUGGUUUAAUACGAAGCAACGCGUAGAACCUUACCUGGGCUUGACAUAUAUUGGACCGCCAUAGAGAUAUGGCUUUUCUUCGGAACUGAUAUACAGGUGUUGCAUGGCUGUCGUCAGCUCGUGUCGUGAGAUGUUUGGUUAAGUCCAAUAACGAGCGCAACCCUUAUCCUUAGUUGCCAGCAUGUAAUGAUGGGAACUCUAAGGAGACUGCCUAGGUUAACUAGGAGGAAGGUGAGGAUGACGUCAAGUCAUUAUGGCCCUUACGCCCAGGGCUACACACGUGCUACAAUGGCCUGUACAGAGGGACGCGAUACCGUGAGGUGGAGCAAAUCCUUUAAAGCAGGCCCCAGUUCGGAUUGUAGUCUGCAACUCGACUACAUGAAGUUGGAAUCGCUAGUAAUGGCGUAUCAGCUACGACGCCGUGAAUCCGUUCCCGGUCUUGUACACACCGCCCGUCACAUCACCUGAGUUGGGUGCACCCGAAGAUACUGUCUCAACC
rnacentral:rRNA from 1 species